GAACGUUGCGGUUUUUUAGGUGAUCCGCGAGUCUGCGACCGCGAGCCACGAACCGUUUUUUCGGCCGAAUUAUUUUCGAAUAAUUAUUUUCACCAAAAAAUAUACGUUUUUUUUUCAAAUAUUUUUUAAAAAUACGAAUACUGCUGUUUUAUUCAUUUUUUAAAAAUUCACGAAUAAUUUGUAAAUUAUUAAUAAAUUAACUAACAUAUAUAUAUAGGUAUAUUGUAUGUUAAAAAAUAAAAUAUAUAUAGGUAUAUUGUAUAAGUAGUAAAAUAAAAAAAGUAAAUAAAGCGACUAAAAUUUUAAAAUACACAUAUACUCUUUAUCUAUAAGUCUUAUUGUUGUCUUGUGGUGUAUCCACAUUGGCGGUUUUUAAUUCAACCCGAUCCAUAUAGGACGUGCAUUGAAAUUUAUUCUAAUAAGUUAAGAAUAAGACUAAAUUAUAUAUUUUUAUUAAUUAAAAAACUUAUCUUUCAGUGAAUAUUUAUUAUGAAUAUUUUAAUCCUAAUCCUUAUCCUAAUAUCUUUGUAAGAUUCAAGAUAUUUAGGAGAUUCCGCUAUUCUAUAAAUACACCCUCUUUUCUCUCUCGUAAAAAGAAUUCUUUUCUCUUCUUUCUCUCUUUUCUCUCCCGUAAAAAGAAUCUUCUCUCUUUUUUCUAGAAUUUUCAUCUAUGUUCCCGGUUGCAUCCGUAAGCAUCUAGACCAAUACGAUCCAAGCAAGAUAGUAAAACAAGCAAUCCGAUCCGAUCAACCGAUUCCGGUUCUGAUCCGAUUUCGGUUCCUGAAUACGUUGGGCCAUCCAGUUUGUAAGUUUCUACCGCCCUAAUAUUUCAAACUGUUUUAAAAUACACAAUACUCUUUAUUUAUAAGUCUUAUUGGAACUGAUCCCUCAACUUCAUUUUUUUUUUUUUUUUACUAUGGAAUACUAUGGGAUAUUUCACCCGGUCCAGAUCUGGAUCCAGAUUUGAAAGCUGUUCGGCACUCUAUCCAUUAGAAAGUUGGGUUAUGUUUGGCCCAAAUCGGUUAUCAGUAUAAAGUAUCGAGAUACAUACUCGAAAUUUUUAUAGGUAUUUUUUUUAUUCGUAUGCUAUUUAUUUUUUAUGUCGAAUCCGAUUUGGAUCUGAGUAGGAUCCGAAUUAGAUAUGAGAUAUUAGAUAUUUUGAACAUUUUUACCAAUGAUCGAAAUUUGUUAGAAUAAUCUUGUACUAAAAGCGCCUGAUUAAUAAAUCAAUAAAGGAGUCUCCAAAUCCUCAUGAACUCUGGUAUUCUUGCAAGUAAUCGUCUCAACUUUUAGCUGCCACAAUCAAUUAAUUAAUGUACUACUUCGUCAAAGGAAUGCUUUGCCCUAUCAUCUGGAAUCACGUAUGUGGAACUAUUUAUUACCUCUGGAAUGGGACUAGCAAAACCUUAUAGAAGCAAACAAUGAACGGCAUCAACAAGAUCCAUAUUAGCAUCUUCUUUACUUCUACUAGAAGAAUGGAAAUAAUAAGCAAUCUUUACUUGUUCUACUAGUAGAAAUGUGUUUGAAAACUGCAUAAAUGUGUUCAGAUUUUAUCGUAUUUUUAAAGACUAUAAACAAACAAAUUAAUUUAAUUUAAUUAAGUACGAAUUCUAAACAAAUUCUAUAAUGCAG
rnacentral:lncRNA from 1 species